rnacentral:rRNA from 1 species
GACGAACGCUGGCGGCGUGCUUAACACAUGCAAGUCGAACGGAAAGGCCCUGCUUUUGUGGGGUGCUCGAGUGGCGAACGGGUGAGUAACACGUGAGUAACCUGCCCUUGACUUUGGGAUAACUUCAGGAAACUGGGGCUAAUACCGGAUAGGAGCUCCUGCUGCAUGGUGGGGGUUGGAAAGUUUCGGCGGUUGGGGAUGGACUCGCGGCUUAUCAGCUUGUUGGUGGGGUAGUGGCUUACCAAGGCUUUGACGGGUAGCCGGCCUGAGAGGGUGACCGGAGACAGGGGGACUGAUACACAGCGGAGAGACCAACGAGGCGGAGCAGUGGGGGAUGUGGCACAGUCGGCGGAAUCGUGAUGCAGCAGCGACGGGUGCGGGAGGAGGGCGUUCGGGUUGUAAAACGCUUUAGCGUGUAACGACGCGUGAGGGGCGGGGAUGAGUAAAGGAGGACCGGCUAGCUACAUG